CUGGAGGUAUCAGAAGUGCGAAUGCUGACAUAAGUAACGAUAAAGCGGGUGAAAAGCCCGCUCGCCGGAAGACCAAGGGUUCCUGUCCAACGUUAAUCGGGGCAGGGUGAGUCGACCCCUAAGGCGAGGCCGAAAGGCGUAGUCGAUGGGAAACAGGUUAAUAUUCCUGUACUUGGUGUUACUGCGAAGGGGGGACGGAGAAGGCUAUGUUGGCCGGGCGACGGUUGUCCCGGUUUAAGCGUGUAGGCUGGUUUUCCAGGCAAAUCCGGAAAAUCAAGGCUGAGGC
rnacentral:rRNA from 1 species